rnacentral:rRNA from 1 species
UACGUAGGGGGCAAGCGUUGUCCGGAAUCAUUGGGCGUAAAGAGCGCGUAGGCGGUCCGGUAAGUCCGCUCUGAAAGUCCGGGGCUCAACCCCGGGAGGCGGGCGGAUACUGUCGGGCUAGAGUCCGGAAGAGGCGAGUGGAAUUCCUGGUGUAGCGGUGAAAUGCGCAGAUAUCAGGAGGAACACCAAUGGCGAAGGCAGCUCGCUGGGACGGUACUGACGCUGAGGUACGAAAGCGUGGGGAGCAAACAGG